UUGAACGCUGGCGGCAUGCCUUACACAUGCAAGUCGAACGGUAACAGGCCGCAAGGUGCUGACGAGUGGCGAACGGGUGAGUAAUGUAUCGGAACGUGCCCAGUCGUGGGGGAUAACUACUCGAAAGAGUGGCUAAUACCGCAUACGACCUGAGGGUGAAAGCGGGGGACCGUAAGGCCUCGCGCGAUUGGAGCGGCCGAUAUCAGAUUAGGUAGUUGGUGGGGUAAAGGCUCACCAAGCCAACGGUCUGUAGCUGGUCUGAGAGGACGACCAGCCACACUGGGACUGAGACACGGCCCAGACUCCUACGGGAGGCAGCAGUGGGGAAUUUUGGACAAUGGGCGCAAGCCUGAUCCAGCCAUGCCGCGUGCGGGAAGAAGGCCUUCGGGUUGUAAACCGCUUUUGUCAGGGAAGAAACGGGCGUUUUUAAUAAAGAUGCCUAAUGACGGUACCUGAAGAAUAAGCACCGGCUAACUACGU
rnacentral:rRNA from 1 species